rnacentral:misc_RNA from 1 species
GGAAACCUGUUGCACACUGAAUAUUCCCAUCUAAUAUUGCUGACGAUAGAUGAGAGCUUCCAUCCCUAGAGAUUCUCAAAACCUCAUUGUUUCCCAGUUCAUUAGUUUGCUCAGGGAGCUUAGCUUCUAUGCUAUGUGUCCUUUCUGGUUGCCUUAACACUUUGCUUCCUUCGACAACUGGUGAACCAGACUGUUCUUCGGUUAAUGUGGAUGCAGAAUACCAGUUGCCAGCCGUUGCAGUCACAGAUGGUCCAUCUGUCACAUUACUAAUUGAAGAUGCUUUUUUUACCGGGCCAAAGCUUUUCAGAUGUUCAUCAUCCAACUUUGAUUCUUUAAAAGGGCUAGACUGAUGUUCAGUACACUUUGAAUCCAAGGACUUUUCUGGAGUAAAUACCA